rnacentral:rRNA from 1 species
CGGGACGGGUGAGUAAUGUCUGGGAAACUGCCUGAUGGAGGGGGGUAACUACUGGAAACGGUAGCUAAUACCGCAUAACGUCGCAAGACCAAAGAGGGGGACCUUCGGGCCUCUUGCCAUCGGAUGUGCCCGGAUGGGAUCAGCUAGUAGGUGGGGUAACGGCUCACCUAGGCGACGAUCCCUAGCUGGUCUGAGAGGAUGACCAGCCACACUGGAACUGAGACACGGUCCAG